rnacentral:rRNA from 1 species
AGAGUUUGAUCCUGGCUCAGGAUGAACGCUGGCGGCGUGCCUAACACAUGCAAGUCGAGCGAAGCUUAUUAGGGAAGCCUUCGGGUGGAACUAAUAAGACUUAGCGGCGGACGGGUGAGUAACGCGUGGGUAACCUACCCUAUACAGGGGGAUAACAACGAGAAAUCGUUGCUAAUACCGCAUAAGCACACAGUAUCGCAUGGUACGGUGUGAAAAACUCUGGUAGUAUAGGAUGGACCCGCGUCUGAUUAGCUAGUUGGUAAGGUAAUGGCUUACCAAGGCGACGAUCAGUAGCCGACCUGAGAGGGUGAUCGGCCACAUUGGGACUGAGACACGGCCCAAACUCCUACGGGAGGCAGCAGUGGGGAAUAUUGCACAAUGGGGGAAACCCUGAUGCAGCAACGCCGCGUGAAGGAAGAAGGUUUUCGGAUUGUAAACUUCUAUCAGCAGGGAAGAAAAUGACUGUACCUGACUAAGAAGCCCCGGCUAACUACGUGCCAGCAGCCGCGGUAAUACGUAGGGGGCAAGCGUUAUCCGGAAUUACUGGGUGUAAAGGGUGUGUAGGCGGCAAUGCAAGUCAGAUGUGAAAGCCAGGGGCUCAACCCCUGGACUGCAUUUGAAACUGUGUAGCUAGAGUACAGGAGAGGUAAGUGGAAUUCCUAGUGUAGCGGUGAAAUGCGUAGAUAUUAGGAAGAACACCAGUGGCGAAGGCGGCUUACUGGACUGUAACUGACGCUGAGGCACGAAAGCGUGGGGAGCGAACAGGAUUAGAUACCCUGGUAGUCCACGCCGUAAACGAUGAAUGCUAGGUGUUGGGGGUCGACAGACCCUCGGUGCCGCAGCUAACGCAUUAAGCAUUCCACCUGGGGAGUACGAUCGCAAGAUUGAAACUCAAAGGAAUUGACGGGGGCCCGCACAAGCGGUGGAGCAUGUGGUUUAAUUCGACGCAACGCGAAGAACCUUACCAAAUCUUGACAUCCCAUUGACCGUUUCGUAAUGGAAGCUUUCCCUUCGGGGACAAUGGAGACAGGUGGUGCAUGGUUGUCGUCAGCUCGUGUCGUGAGAUGUUGGGUUAAGUCCCGCAACGAGCGCAACCCUUAUCUCUAGUAGCCAGCAUUUCGGAUGGGGACUCUAGAGAGACUGCCGGGGACAACUCGGAGGAAGGUGGGGAUGACGUCAAAUCAUCAUGCCCCUUAUGAUUUGGGCUACACACGUGCUACAAUGGUGGUGACAAAGGGAAGCAAAAGGGUGACCUUAAGCAAACCUCAAAAAAGCCAUCUCAGUUCGGAUUGUAGUCUGCAACUCGACUACAUGAAGUUGGAAUCGCUAGUAAUCGCGAAUCAGAAUGUCGCGGUGAAUACGUUCCCGGGCCUUGUACACACCGCCCGUCACACCAUGGGAGUUGGAAGCGCCCGAAGCCGGUGACUAAACCGUAAGGAUAGAGCCGUCGAAGGUGAAGUCGAUAACUAGGGUGAAGUCGAAACAAGGUA